rnacentral:sRNA from 18 species
UUUUAACCGCUCUUCGCCACAUCAUAGCGACAGCCAAUGGGUGGACUUGAGGAGCAAACACCCUGAGCAACCCCGAAAGGAGAGAGCCAUGUCUUUUGAAUUACCUGCCUUACCUUAU